rnacentral:pre_miRNA from 1 species
AUUUCGGUAUACAAAUGGGAUGACAAAAAAUAUUUGCAAGACCCAUUUGUAUACCAAAAUAU